GGAGCGGCGGGCGCGGCGCGAUGCGCGGGUACCCGGGAGCGAACGGCUGCAAGCCCCGAUGAAGCUCGAGCAGCCCCAGCCUGAUGGAGGCGCCUCCGUGGGAGCCGGUGCGCAAUGACUCCCUGCCUCCCACGCUGAGCCCCGCGGUGCCGCCCUACGUGAAGCUCGGCCUCACCGCGGUCUACAACCGUCUUCUACGCGCUCCUCUUCGUGUUCAUCUAUGCGCAGCUCUGGCUGGUGCUGCGCUACCGUCACAAGCGGCUCAGCUACCAGAGCGUCUUCCUCUUCCUUUGCCUCUUCUGGGCCUCGCUGCGUACCGUGCUCUUCUCCUUUUACUUCCGAGACUUCGUGGCAGCCAACUCGUUCAGCCCCUUCGUCUUCUGGCUGCUCUACUGCUUCCCCGUGUGUCUACAGUUCUUCACCCUCACGCUCAUGAACUUGUACUUCACGCAGGUGAUUUUCAAGGCCAAGUCAAAAUAUUCUCCAGAGCUACUCAAAUACCGGUUACCCCUCUACCUGGCCUCACUUUUCAUCAGCCUCGUUUUCCUGUUGGUGAAUCUGACCUGUGCUGUGCUGGUGAAGACGGGAGACUGGGACAGGAAGGUUAUCGUCUCUGUGAGAGUGGCCAUCAAUGACACACUCUUUGUGCUGUGUGCUAUCUCUCUCUCCAUCUGCCUCUACAAAAUCUCCAAGAUGUCCCUGGCGAACAUCUACUUGGAGUCAAAGGGCUCAUCAGUGUGUCAGAUCAAGAACGUCCAUUCCUUUGAUUAUGACUGGUACAAUGUAUCCGACCAGGCAGAUCUGAAGAGCCAGCUGGGUGAUGCCGGCUACGUAGUGUUUGGCGUGGUGCUUUUCGUGUGGGAGCUCCUACCCACCACCUUGGUGGUUUAUUUCUUUCGAGUCAGAAAUCCCACGAAGGAUCUUACCAAUCCUGGGAUGGUCCCCAGCCAUGGAUUCAGUCCCAGAUCUUACUUCUUUGACAACCCCCGAAGAUAUGACAGUGAUGAUGACCUUGCCUGGAACAUUGCCCCUCAGGGACUUCAGGGAAGGACCUCUCCGAGCCUACCCAGAGAGAGCCAGGGCAUGUGCUGCUCCACUCACUCACUGGAACGUGAUCUGGGACAUCCAGGCAGACCUCUUGGAUCCUCUUCUAAAGCCAGAGAAUAUAUGAACAAUUAUCACUAGAGUGAAUAUAUUAUAAGAACCAAAAA
rnacentral:lncRNA from 1 species